GAAAGGCUUCCAUUUCUCAUGUUAUGCAUGCACUGCUCCCUUGAUAUUCAGCAUUUUAAUGGAUCGAUUCAUCCAAGAACUUUGUCCGGAGAUGAUUAACGCUGCUGUCCUCGGAUGUACGGGCGCAAAAUAUGAAUAGCAGAAAAAUGAUUGCAGAUAGUUGCACGCAGUGAGAUGAUUAGCCUGUCUCAUUCCAAAGGAAGAGUUGUCCGGAGCAGAAUUUCAUCCAU